ACGGAAGGCAGCAGCUAAGAAUAUUCCGCAAUGGACGAAAGUCUGACGGAGCGACGCCGCGUGGAUGAUGAAGGCCGAAAGGUUGUAAAAUCCUUUUGUAUUGGACGAAUAAGUAUGGCAGGUAAUGGUCAUGCGGUGACGGUACAAUUUGAAUAAGAGGCGGCUAAUUACGUGCCAGCAGCCGCGGUAACACGUAAGCCUCGAGCGUUGUUCGGAAUUAUUGGGCGUAAAGGGCAUGUAGGCGGCCAUCUAAGCUUGAUGUGAAAUUCAGGAGCUCAACUCCUGAACUGCAUUGAGAACUGGAUGACUAGAGUUACUGAAGUGGAAUCAGAAUUCCAGGUGUAGGGGUGAAAUCUGUAGAUAUCUGGAAGAAUACCAAUGGCGAAGGCAGGUUUCAGGCAGAUAACUGACGCUGAGGUGCGAAGGUGCGGGGAGCAAACAGGAUUAGAUACCCUGGUA
rnacentral:rRNA from 1 species